rnacentral:rRNA from 1 species
GAUGAACGCUAGCGGGAGGCCUAACACAUGCAAGCCGAGCGGUAUUUGUUCUUCGGAACAGAGAGAGCGGCGCACGGGUGCGGAACACGUGUGCAACCUGCCUUUAUCUGGGGGAUAGCCUUUCGAAAGGAAGAUUAAUACCCCAUAAUAUAUUGAGUGGCAUCAUUUGAUAUUGAAAACUCCGGUGGAUAGAGAUGGGCACGCGCAAGAUUAGAUAGUUGGUGAGGUAACGGCUCACCAAGUCAAUGAUCUUUAGGGGGCCUGAGAGGGUGAUCCCCCACACUGGUACUGAGACACGGACCAGACUCCUACGGGAGGCAGCAGUGAGGAAGAUUGGACAAUGGGUUAGCGCCUGAUCCAGCCAUCCCGCGUGAAGGACGACGGCCCUAUGGGUUGUAAACUUCUUUUGUAUAGGGAUAAACCUACUCUCGUGAGAGUAGCUGAAGGUACUAGACGAAUAAGCACCGGCUAACUCCGUG